rnacentral:tRNA from 1 species
AAGAAAUUAGCUCAAUGGUAGAGCUAUCGUUUUACACACGAAGGGUUAAGUGUUCAAAUCACUUAUUUCUUA